GUACAAGAAAUUUUGGGGCGGUUAGGCAAAAAGCUACGACUCAAUGAGUACCUACGACUAUAUCGGUCAGUAUAUGGCACCUACGACUCAAUGAGUGAAGAUGAAAUGGAAGCCAUUGAGCAAGUGGCCAUGCACCGGCGCGUGAACGAGGAUGAAGAUGAUCAAGUCUUUUGUGAUGAAGAUACGAGCCCCGCUCUUGUUGUCUCCAAGGUCUUGACUGUUCAACAUCAACAAGAAGAAUACCAACGAUGCCACAUCUUCCACACAAAGGCCGGCAUCAAUGGACGAUCCGUCAAGGUCAUCAUCGAUGGAGGUAGUUGCCACAAUUUGGCAAGUGAAGAACUAUGA
rnacentral:rRNA from 1 species